CUGUCUCCGGCGACUGGAGAGGGCAUUGGCCAGGAGAAGUGAGACGUGGACAAAAGGCGGGACUGGGAAGGGAUCUCUCGCUUCGACCCGCCUCCGACCCGCGGAGUUGCCCCCUGAGGACUACCAGUCCCAGUGUGCACUGCUUCUUCCCCGGCUCUCCCGCGAGCCGACUCGGAGCCGUGUCUCUCGCUUCUACCCGGGGUAGGCGCGCUGCACCCUGGGACUUGCGGUCCUCCGAGGUCGCCAGUGGUUGCUGGGAUCCCACCUCCCCCUUUCCUCGGCGCCCUACAGUCAACCCUGUCUCGGUGGGCUGCGGAGUCCCGGGAAACCCGUCAGCUGUUUAUCUCUCUUCCUCAGAAAGUUGUUUCCCAGAGAGCUGGCUGAAUGAGGCGCACUGUCCCCAUGUCAGUGCUGCUGCGUUAGGGAAUAGUGUUGGAGUAGUCGUCUACCCUCAGGGAAAUUCCAAAACACAGUAACAGCAAAAUGAAUUGAGCCUUUGAAGGCAUUGCGCUAAGGUUUUUACUCGCAAUCAUCUCAUGCACUCUUCUCAACUCUGAUAGAAUCUGCAAUCCAACAUUGGUUUCAUCCUGGAUCCUCUUUGGCAGCCUUGGUAAUGAAGUUAGCUAAAUCAAUACAUGAAAUGAAAGAGGAGAAGACAGACAUAGAAGACUAGGCCACAUGAAGACUAAGGCAGAGAUUGGAUUUAUGCAGCUACAUACAAGGAAAGCCUACAGCCACCAGAAUCUGGAAGAGAUAAGGAAGGAUUUGCCACUAAAGCAUUCAGAAGGUGCACGGCCCUGCUGACAUCUUGAUUUUGGACUUUUUUGGGGACCGGGUAGCCAUUAUCCUUCUUCUUGAUAUCCAGGUUCAACUGAAGGCAUAAAAUGUCAAGUUCCUCAGCUCAAAAUCAAAAUCUCUACUCUGCCACUAUCUUGGUAAUUUAAGCAAAUUAUUCUGCCUCUUUUGGUCUAAGUUUAGUCAUUUGUAAUAUUAAAGUGGUAAAUUAGAUCAGAAGAUCCCAAAAUGACAUUUUGAGAAAUUCUGUUUUGAAGGAUAUGAAUGGGUGUGCCCUAUA
rnacentral:lncRNA from 1 species